GAUGAACGCUGGCGGCGUGCCUAAUACAUGCAAGUCGAGCGAACGGACGAGAAGCUUGCUUCUUUGAUGUUAGCGGAGGACGGGUGAGAAACACGUGGAUAACCUACCUAUAAGACUGGGAUAACUUCGGGAAACCGGAGAUAAUCCCGGAUGAUAUUUUGAACCGCAUGGUUCAAAGGUGAAAGACGGUCUUGCUGUCACUUAUAGAUGGAUACGCGCUGGAUGAGCUAGUUGGUAAGGUCACGGCCUAUGAAGGCAACGAUGCAUAGCCGACCUCAGAGGGGGAUCGGCGACACUGGAGCUUGGCCGCCGUCCUGGCUCCUACGGUAGGCAGCAGUCUGGUAUCUUCCGCAGUGGUCGGAAGCCUUACGGAGCGACGCCGCGCGAGUGAUGGAGGUCCUCGGUUCGUAAAGCUCUGUUAUGAGGGGAGAACAUAUUUGUAAGUAACUGUACACUUCUUGACGGUACCUAGUCAGAAAGCCACGGCUAACUACGUG
rnacentral:rRNA from 1 species